rnacentral:lncRNA from 1 species
CGAGAGGCGUCGGGAUCGCGGGCGCCGGCUGAGCCAGCGGCUGCUGGGAGGCUGUGUGCGCACGCCUGCGGGGCGAGGAGGCCGGGCCCUGCGCCUCAGGCCUGAGAACUGGGAGGAAGCUGGAGAAAAGAUGCCCUCUGAAUAUUUGUGUUUGGCUGCCCAGGCUCGCCUUGACUCCAAAUGGUUGAAAACAGAUAUACAGAUGGAGUCUUGCUCUGUUGCCCAGGCUAGAGUGCAGUGGUGCCAUCUCGGCUUACCGCAAGCUCCGCCUCCCGGGUUCACGCCAUUGUCCUGCCUCAGCGUCCCGAGUACCUGGAACUAUAGGUGUCCACCAUCAUACCUGGCCAAUUUUUUGUAUUUUCAGUAGAGACGGGGUUUCACUGUGUCAGCCAAGAUGGUCUCCAUCUUCUGACCUCGUGAUCCACCGGCCUUGGCCUCUUAGAGUGCUGGGAUUACAGGCAUAAGCCACCACUCCCGGCCGAUAUAUUGGUUUGUUUAUGAAAAUUAUACUGGAUCUGUUACAGAUGAUAGUGUCAAACCAAGUGGAACAAAGAAAGAAGAUCUGGAUGACAAAGAGAAAAAAGAUGAAACUCCUGCACCUGUAUAUAGGGCCAAGUCAAUUCUGGAGAGCUGGGUAUGGGAGUAAGCAACCAGGGAUGUUCACGGAACGCCAGGCACCAAAAGGCCAGAAGCAUGCCCCUGCAGGACCAGCACUUGGCUCUGGCCAUCCUGCUGGAGCUGGCUGUGCAGAGAGGCACGCUGAGCCAAAUGUUGUCUGCCAUCCUGUUGUUGCUUCAGCUGUGGGACAGCAGGGCACAGGAAACUGACAAUGAGCGUUCUGCCCAGGGCACCAGCACCUUGCUUUUGUCCUUGCUGCAAACGUUCCAGAGCAUCAUUUGCGCUUUUGUCUGGCCCUCUGAGCCCCAGUGAGAGUUUCCUGAGGUACCUCACCCUCCACAAGACAACGAGCUUGCCAUUGAUCUGCAACAAACGGCAGUUGUUGUCAUGGCCCAUUUAGAAGAUCUGGCUACACCCUGUAGAUGCCUCUGCCGUGUAGCUGUC